rnacentral:rRNA from 1 species
GACGAACGCUGGCGGCGUGCCUAAUACAUGCAAGUAGAACGCUGAAGAGAGGAGCUUGCUCUUCUUGGAUGAGUUGCGAACGGGUGAGUAACGCGUAGGUAACCUGCCUUGUAGCGGGGGAUAACUAUUGGAAACGAUAGCUAAUACCGCAUAACAAUGGAUGACACAUGUCAUUUAUUUGAAAGGGGCAAUUGUUCCACUACAAGAUGGACCUGCGUUGUAUUAGCUAGUAGGUGAGGUAAUGGCUCACCUAGGCGACGAUACAUAGCCGACCUGAGAGGGUGAUCGGCCACCCUGGGACUGGGACACGGCCCAGACUCCUACGGGAGGCAGCAGUAGGGAAUCUUCGGCAAUGGGGGCAACCCUGACCGAGCAACGCCGCGUGAGUGAAGAAGGUUUUCGGAUCGUAAAGCUCUGUUGUAAGUCAAGAACGGGUGUGGGAGUGGAAAGUUCACACUGUGACGGUAGCUUACCAGAAAGGGACGGCUAACUACGUG